GCGGUCUUCAACAAAAUGGGGAAAGUGUUGGCUGUUUUAUUGCUUCUUUUUUCUCUGCUUAGCAUAAUUUAUAGUGCAGAACGAGAUGGUGAGCAUUGCUACGGAUUUUGUGACCAGAAUACGAAUUGUGGUAUUAACGCAUACUGCGACUACAGAUAUAUCUACAGAGGAUUUUGCUGUAUAUAUCGAAGAGGUUAGCACUACUGAGAAAACGUAAUACAAAAAUGAGGAAAUGAGAAAGCACUAAAAGAGCUUCUUAAUGGAUGGUCUAUUGAUAAAUCCCUUUUGCCCUUGAAGAAAUAAAAUCUUGAGCAGACAAUAUAAAUUCUGAAAAUAAA